rnacentral:lncRNA from 1 species
AAGGUAGGAAUCGUAAGAGUGUACAGAAAUAAGUCACAUGCAGACCAUAUUGAAAUACGCAGAGAAUUCCAUGGAGACUCUGAUGGCUAGGGCACCGUUGAGCUGUUGCAACUGUUCUGCUGGAGCCUUAUGUAUGUGGUUGAAACCACCUGUACUACUGGAAUGAAAGCACCUUUACAGAAGAGGCAAUGCAAGUUGUAUUCAUCACAUGUGUAGAAUGAAUUAAGAUUUAUGCCAGUUGCAAAGAAGAAUAUUGGCUCACUAUUUUUCCUCUGGGCAUAUGGAGUCUUGCUCUGUCGCCAGGCUGGAAUACAGUGGCAUGAUCUCGACUCACUGCAACCUCUGCCUCCCGGGUUCAAGUGAUUCUCCUGCCUCAGCCUCCCGAGUAGCUGGGAUUACAGGCGCGUGCCACUGCACCCAGCUAAUUUUUGUAUUUUUAGUAGAGACAGGGUUUCAUCAUGUUGGCCAGGACAGUCUCGAUCUGCCCGCCUCAGCCUCCCAAAUUGCUGGGUUUAUAGGCAUGAGCCACCACACCCAGCCACCAAAGGUAUUCAUGUAGUUUCUGACCAUCCCUCCUCUGCAUCACGGUAACAGCUCACUGCAGCCUUGACCUCCUGGGCUCAAGUGACCUGACUUUAUUCAGAUAUACAAAUAUGCUCCAAAGACUGUGCUCUUCAUUAAGAUAACCAGACCAACUUCUUACCGGUCUCCUGGCAUCAGACUCCACAUAUUACCUCUUCUUUCCUUUCUUCCCCUUUGCCUCUCCCCCUCUACCUUCUUGACUCCCUCUUUAUUUUUUAAAAUAAUUUUUUAGCAUGUUGCAGCCAUUGUAAAAUUGAAACUUGUCUCUUUUUCAUGAAAAAUGAAGUUUUUUUGAAAUUUUGUCUUAGACUAGUAAAAAACAAUAAACUUAUACUUUUGAGUUUACUUUUAUAUCAGAUAUAAGUUGCAGUGCUAGCUAUUUUUCUUGGUUUAGCGAAACUAAGUUCAUGCCAAGGUAGUCACUGUCUUCUUUUAGAAUUGGCAAAAUCUAGCACACUGUUUCUUACACAUAGCAGGUGGUCAGUGAAUAUUCUUUGAAUGAAUUAAAUUUUGAAGGAAAGAUAUCCAGGUUAAGGAACUCCUUCUCAAAAAAGGAAAGGUAGCAAGAAAAGAUGAACAUUUGCACAGAUGCGUAUUUCACAUUCAGAAGCAAGUUAUUUUCAAUUUAAUUUAAUUUAUUUAUUUAUUGAGACAGGGUCUUGCUCUGUCACCCAGGAUGGAGUGCAGUGGCACAAUCAUGGCUCACUGCAGCCUCAACUUCCUGGGCUCAAGCUAUUCUCCUGCCUCAGCCUCCCAAGUAGCUAGUACUAUCUGUGCUCAUCAUCACACACAGCUAAUUUUUAAUUUUUUAUAAAGAUGGGCAGGGGGAAGGGUGUCUCAUUUUGUUGCCCAGGCUGGUCUCGAACUCUUUGCCUCAAGCGGUCCACCCAUCCCAGCCUUUCAAAGUAUUGGGAUUACAGGCGUGAGCCACCAUACCUGGUCAGAGCAAUUUAUAUUUGUGUGCUAUGGAAUAUAACUCAAUUCUAUAUCAGUCUGAGAUAUAUCUGGGAGAGAUUUUCAUUCGUGUCUGUUCAUGUUGUUUACAUUUUCAGAUUUCCAAGGGGGUAAAAAAAAAAAAGUAAAAACAAAAGGGGAACACAUUCGUCUCUAAAACAUACACAUUUAUUACUUUGUCCUACUUAUUCAGAACAGAUUGGUUGCCAAUGCGUAGGAAGCUGCUUCAUCUUCAUACACGGAUUCAACAUUCCAUUUUCUGAAUAACAUUCAGACUGACCAUACAACAAUUCCGUAUUUAUUUUAAUGCGAUUUUAAACACCAUUACACUCGGCGUCUGAAUCUAUAUCAUCCUACAAGUUACCAGAAUAAUCUUCUCAGUUUGGUUAUAUACAUAUACAUAUACAUAUACAUAUACAUAUACAUAUACAUAUACAUACACAUACUUAUACAUAUAAGUACGUAUACACAAAUACAUGCAUAUACCC